CUCAAAUCUCUCUCAAAUUUCUCUCAAUUCUCUGUUAAAUUCUCCCUCAAUUUUUAUUUAUCUCUAAAUUUUAUUUUUUUAUUAAAAUUAUCUUAACAUUUUCAUAAAUUAUUUUUCUAUUAGAAAUUAUUCAGUAUUUUUCGAAAUUAGCAAUGACCGGAUCUCUAAUCAGUUUUAAUGACAACCACAUUUCCAUCAAUCAAUUGCAAAUGAUUGAAUUUUGGAGGCUUAUAUUCGUAAUCUACUCGCUUAUUCAUUACCCUUGAUUGGAUCCUACUUGAGAGAAGUUGGUUUUUCGCACGUGGCCCUUGGAGGUAAGGGGUGUAAGUUGGACCUGACACUCGUAAGCCUUUGGUGGAAAGGUGGAGACCCGAGACGCACACAUUUCAUCUUCCAUGCAGCGAGUGUACUAUCAUUAGGACGCAGCCGAUUGGAGAGAUGUAUGCGACGAACUUUUGGGGAGGGUUUCGGAGAUGAUUUAUGGAGGGCAGAUCGAAAUGGAAUUCAUCUGCGACUACAUCUUGUCGCCUCUAAAAGAAAAGCCCUAUAGUACUACAUCUUGAAUUGCCUCUCAAAAUAAGGAUAUAAUGAUCUCUUUAAAUAGGCUAAUGUUGAAAGGCUAAAACAACUAAAAUAUCCCUCAAGUAAUCAGAGUUCAAUUGAGAGACAAAACUCUACUUAAAGCCUAAAACGCAACUGCUUACUUGAGGAAUACAGCGCGUCGUCACGAUGUCCCAUGCUUCAUCACUCUUAUAUUUUAUAGUAAUUUAAUUUGUUUUUUUAAUAUUCACCAAUAAUACAUAUAGUUUUUUUUUCUUUUAUAAACUACAUUUUAUAGUUAUUUUAUUUUAGUUAUCUAUGCUAUUAUUUUACAUUUUAUACCUAUUUUAUUGUAGUCGUCUAUACUAUGAUUUAAGGUUAAUUUUAAAAUAGUCACCCAAUAUUCAUAAGUUUUCA